GAGUUUGAUCCUGGCUCAGAUUGAACGCUGGCGGCAUGCCUUACACAUGCAAGUCGAACGGCAGCACGGGAGCUUGCUCCUGGUGGCGAGUGGCGAACGGGUGAGUAAUGCAUCGGAACGUAUCCUGGAGUGGGGGAUAACGUAGCGAAAGUUACGCUAAUACCGCAUAUUCUGUGAGCAGGAAAGCGGGGGACCUUCGGGCCUCGCGCUCUUGGAGCGGCCGAUGUCGGAUUAGCUAGUUGGUGAGGUAAAGGCUCACCAAGGCGACGAUCCGUAGCAGGUCUGAGAGGAUGAUCUGCCACACUGGAACUGAGACACGGUCCAGACUCCUACGGGAGGCAGCAGUGGGAAUUUUGGACAAUGGGGGCAACCCUGAUCCAGCCAUGCCGCGUGAGUGAAGAAGGCCUCGGUGUAAG
rnacentral:rRNA from 1 species